rnacentral:piRNA from 1 species
UUUCUGGAGGGCAAUUUGAUACAAUGCAU